rnacentral:rRNA from 1 species
AUGAUGAACGCUAGCUACAGGCUUAACACAUGCAAGUCGAGGGGCAGCAUGGUCUUAGCUUGCUAAGGCCGAUGGCGACCGGCGCACGGGUGAGUAACACGUAUCCAACCUGCCGUCUACUCUUGGACAGCCUUCUGAAAGGAAGAUUAAUACAAGAUGGCAUCAUGAGUCCACAUGUUCACAUGAUUAAAGGUAUUCCGGUAGACGAUGGGGAUGCGUUCCAUUAGAUAGUAGGCGGGGUAACGGCCCACCUAGUCUUCGAUGGAUAGGGGUUCUGAGAGGAAGGUCCCCCACAUUGGAACUGAGACACGGUCCAAACUCCUACGGGAGGCAGCAGUGAGGAAUAUUGGUCAAUGGGCGAGAGCCUGAACCAGCCAAGUAGCGUGAAGGAUGACUGCCCUAUGGGUUGUAAACUUCUUUUAUAAAGGAAUAAAGUCGGGUAUGCAUACCCGUUUGCAUGUACUUUAUGAAUAAGGAUCGGCUAACUCCGUGCCAGCAGCCGCGGUAAUACGGAGGAUCCGAGCGUUAUCCGGAUUUAUUGGGUUUAAAGGGAGCGUAGAUGGAUGUUUAAGUCAGUUGUGAAAGUUUGCGGCUCAACCGUAAAAUUGCAGUUGAUACUGGAUAUCUUGAGUGCAGUUGAGGCAGGCGGAAUUCGUGGUGUAGCGGUGAAAUGCUUAGAUAUCACGAAGAACUCCGAUUGCGAAGGCAGCCUGCUAAGCUGCAACUGACAUUGAGGCUCGAAAGUGUGGGUAUCAAACAGGAUUAGAUACCCUGGUAGUCCACACGGUAAACGAUGAAUACUCGCUGUUUGCGAUAUACAGCAAGCGGCCAAGCGAAAGCGUUAAGUAUUCCACCUGGGGAGUACGCCGGCAACGGUGAAACUCAAAGGAAUUGACGGGGGCCCGCACAAGCGGAGGAACAUGUGGUUUAAUUCGAUGAUACGCGAGGAACCUUACCCGGGCUUAAAUUGCAGAUGAAUUACGGUGAAAGCCGUAAGCCGCAAGGCAUCUGUGAAGGUGCUGCAUGGUUGUCGUCAGCUCGUGCCGUGAGGUGUCGGCUUAAGUGCCAUAACGAGCGCAACCCUUGUUGUCAGUUACUAACAGGUCAUGCUGAGGACUCUGACAAGACUGCCAUCGUAAGAUGUGAGGAAGGUGGGGAUGACGUCAAAUCAGCACGGCCCUUACGUCCGGGGCUACACACGUGUUACAAUGGGGGGUACAGAGGGCCGCUACCACGCGAGUGGAUGCCAAUCCCAAAAACCUCUCUCAGUUCGGACUGGAGUCUGCAACCCGACUCCACGAAGCUGGAUUCGCUAGUAAUCGCGCAUCAGCCACGGCGCGGUGAAUACGUUCCCGGGCCUUGUACACACCGCCCGUCAAGCCAUGGGAGCCGGGGGUACCUGAAGUGCGUAACCGCGAGGAGCGCCCUAGGGUAA